GCCUGGGUGGCUCAGUUGGUUGAGCCUCUGACUUCAACUCAGGUCAUGAUCUUACGGUUCCAUGAGUUCAAGCCCCUCAUCGGGCU
rnacentral:tRNA from 1 species